CAAAGCGUAGCUAAAUUAGGAAAGCAUCUCCCUUACACUGAGAAGUUACCCGUGCAAAUCAGGGCGCCUUGA
rnacentral:tRNA from 1 species